rnacentral:tRNA from 3 species
AGUAAAGUGCCUGAAAAAAGGAUUAUCGUGAUAGGGUAAAAAAUGUAAUGCAUUUACCUUUACUA